GCCCUCGUAGCUCAGUUGGUAGAGCGCUCGACCUUUAAUCGAGUGGUCGGCGGAUCGAAACCGCCCGGGGGUA
rnacentral:tRNA from 4 species